CUAACCUUUCUUCUUACUUCACCCCUUUUAUUUUAAACCAUUAAUAUAUUUACCUGAGAACUAUCCUUAUCUUUUUCUAGUACUAUAUAGGAACCUCCCUCUAUUUAAUUAGUAGUUAUUAAUUAACGUACCUUUUGCAUCAUGGUUUAGCAAGAAAAAUUUUAAACUAAUAAUCCCCGAAAAUUAAGCGAGCUGAGCCUUUUUUGCUAAGAGCCCCCUUUCUCUUGUUACAAAAAGUUUUCCAAAAAUAGGCCCAGAGGCUACAUACCCUCGCGCUAAUUAAUAGCUGGUUGUUCAAUAACUUUAUAUUAGUAAACCAAGCAAACUUUGCUAUGUUAUAAAAUAAAGGAUAAGCUUUAUUUUUUUCGUAAUAUCAUCCCCACUAUUAAUUUGUAGGCCUAAAAGUAGCCACCCUAUAAAAGUGUUAUAACUUUUUUUCUUUAAAUUUUUCAUCUAAGAUACGAACUCAAUUGAACUUCUUCUAUAAACCCACUACUAUAAAUUUCUGCUAAUAUUAAUACUAUAAUUUCCCUUAUUUUUCCCCUAAAACCCCCUCCCUAAUAAUUUUAUAUACCUCAAACUCUUUAAAGGAACUCGGCAAAUAAGAACUUCGACUGUUUAUCAAAAACAUUGCCUCUUGUUAAAAUAUAAAAGGUACAUCCUGCCCAGUGACUUAAAGUUCAACGGCCGCGGUACCCUGACCGUGCUAAGGUAGCAUAAUCAUUUGCCUCUUAAUUAGUGGCUAGUAUGAAUGGACAAACGAAAGUUCCCCUGUCUCUAUUUAGCCAAUGAAAAUUAAUCUUCAGGUGAAGAAGCCUGAAUUUUCUUAAAAGACAAAAAGACCCUAUUGAGCUUUAUUCUAAUUCUAGACAUCUAUAAUAAAAAUAAAAUUUUCUCUAAAAUAAGAAUUUUGCUGGGGCAGCAAAGGAACACCCAAAAAUUCCUUUUUCAAAAGACUUAUUAGUCCACCUAAAUGAUCCAUUUUUAUGAUUAACAAAACUAGCUACCAUAGGGAUAACAGGCUAAUUUUUCUCUAGAGCUCAAAUUGACAGAAAAGAUUGGCACCUCGAUGUUGGCUUAGGAUAUCCUUAGGGCGCAAAAGCUCUAAAAGGUAGGUUUGUUCAACCUUUAAAAUCCUACAUGAGCUGAGUUCAGACCGGCGAAAGCCAGGUCAGUUUCUAUCUUUAAUUUAAUCCUUAACCAAUAGUACGAAAGGACCUUGAGUUAAAAAACACUUUUAUUUCCUGAAUUCAAAUAACACCUCUAUAAACAAUUAAUUCCUUGAAUCU
rnacentral:rRNA from 1 species